rnacentral:tRNA from 1 species
GGUUGUGGCUCAGCGGUAGAGCACUCGUCUAGCACCUGCGAGGCUCUGGGUUUGAUCCUCAGCACCA